UACGUAGGGGGCAAGCGUUGUCCGGAUUCAUUGGGCGUAAAGAGCUCGUAGGCGGUGUGUCGCGUCGGCCGUGAAAACCUGGGGCUUAACUCUGGGCGUGCGGUCGAUACGGGCAUCACUAGAGUUCGGCAGGGGAGACUGGAAUUCCUGGUGUAGCGGUGAAAUGCGCAGAUAUCAGGAGGAACACCGGUGGCGAAGGCGGGUCUCUGGGCCGAGUACUGACGCUGAGGAGCGAAAGCAUGGGUAGCGAACAGG
rnacentral:rRNA from 1 species